rnacentral:lncRNA from 1 species
CAUUUGGAGCUCGGGUUCCAUGCAAGCAAGCAUAAGGCAGCUUAUCUCAAGAUUGGCAUCAAAUGCUUUCUUGUAAGCAGCCUUAACGGCAGCAGAUGCAUCCUCAACAGGUACUUGGUAUAAUGGGGUGUCUAGAACAUCUUCCUUUUUAUCGGCCUUGAGAACAAUUCUCAGGUUACGGAUCCAAUCCGAGUAGUUUGUUCCAUUCAACUUGUCCUUCUCAAGGACCGAACGCAAAGCAAAUGGUGUGGUGUUGUUAGGUGUCAUUUAAUCUACAACAAAAGUAAUGCAAAAUACACUAAGAUAAACGUAUCCAUGAUAGAGUAAAUCACAUUAAACUAUUUAACAGAAUCUACUCCCACU